ACGAACGCUGGCGGCAUGCCUAACACAUGCAAGUCGAACGAGACCUUCGGGUCUAGUGGCGCACGGGUGCGUAACGCGUGGGAACCUGCCCUUAGGUUCGGAAUAACUCCCCGCAAGGGGUGCUAAUACCGGAUAAUGUCUUCGGACCAAAGAUUUAUCGCCUUUGGAUGGGCCCGCGUUGGAUUAGCUAGUUGGUAGGGUAAAAGCCUACCAAGGCGACGAUCCAUAGCUGGUCUGAGAGGAUGAUCAGCCACACUGGGACUGAGACACGGCCCAGACUCCUACGGGAGGCAGCAGUGGGGAAUAUUGGACAAUGGGCGAAAGCCUGAUCCAGCAAUGCCGCGUGAGUGAUGAAGGCCUUAGGGUUGUAAAGCUCUUUUACCCGGGAUGAUAAUGACAGUACCGGGAGAAUAAGCUCCGGCUAACUCCGUG
rnacentral:rRNA from 1 species